rnacentral:rRNA from 1 species
UACGGGGGGUGCGAGCGUUGUCCGGAAUCACUGGGCGUAAAGGGCGCGUAGGUGGUUUGAUAAGGGUGUGGUGAAAGUCCGGGGCUCAACCCCGGAUCUGCCGUGCCGACUGUCAAACUCGAGGACUGUAGAGGCAGACGGAAUUCCGGGUGUAGCGGUGGAAUGCGUAGAGAUCCGGAGGAAGACCGGUGGCGAAGGCGGGUCUCUGGGCAGUAACUGGACGCUGAGGAGCGAAAAGCGUGGGUAGCAAACAGG